GACGAACGCUGGCGGCGUGCUUAACACAUGCAAGUCGAGCGGCGCGGCGAACGGGUGAGUAACGCGUGAGUAAUUGCCCCCCUCUCUGGGAUAACAGUUGGAAACGGCUGCUAUUACCGGCUAGUGGGGGGUGGCUCGCGUCCUAUCAGCUUGUUGGUGGGGUCGUGGCCUACCAAGGCGACGACGGGUAGCCGGCCUGGGAGGGCAACCGGCCACAUUGGGCGGAGAUACGGCCCAAACGCCUACCGGAGGCAGCAGUGGGGAAUAUGGCACAAUGGGGGAGACCCAGAUGCGGCAACGCCGGGUGCGGGAUGACGGCUUUCGGGUUGUAAACCGCUUUCAGCCAUGACGCGGUAGUGGCAGAAGAAGCACCGGCUAACUACGUGCCAGCAGCCGCGGUAAUAC
rnacentral:rRNA from 1 species